CCACUGGAUUGCUGACAGAUAGAGGA
rnacentral:piRNA from 1 species